rnacentral:rRNA from 1 species
ACGGGUGAGUAAUGCGCAGGAACCUGCCCUUUGGUGAGGAAUACUCUUGAGAAAUCGAGAAUAAUACCGCAUAAGUCCCUACGGGGAGAAAGGCGGCUUUAAUGCUGUCGUCAGAGGAUGGGCUUGCGUGCUAUCAGCUAGUUGGUGGGGUAAAGGCCUACCAAGGCUAUGACGGCUAACCGGCCUGAGAGGGUGUACGGUCACACUGGAACUGAGACACGGUCCAGACUCCUACAGGAGGCAGCAGUGGGGAAUAUUGCGCAAUGGGCGAAAGCCUGACGCAGCGACGCCGCGUGGAGGAUGAAGGUCUUAGGAUUGUAAACUCCUGUUAAGUGGGAAGAAAAGCCUACCAGUAAUAUGGGUAGGUUAUGACGGUACCGCUAGAGAAAGCACCGGCUAACUUCGUGCCAGCAGCCGCGGUAAUACGAGGGGUGCAAGCGUUAUUCGGAUUUACUGGGCGUAAAGGGUGUGUAGACGGUUUACUAAGUCUGUUGUUAGAUACUCUGGCUUAACUGGAGAUCAGCAGUGGAAACUAGUAGACUAGAGGUUGGGAGAGAGAAGUGGAAUUCCCGGAGUAGCGGUAAA